rnacentral:rRNA from 1 species
CCCUUAGAUGUUCUGGGCGGCCCGCGCACUACAUUGGCACUGGCAACAAGAUCCUAGAUCUGGUAUUUCGGGGUAUUCUACCAACUGGUGUCGUGACUGGGAUUAACCCCUGCAAUUAUUGGUUAUGAACGAGGAAUGCCUUGUAAUCACGGUUUAUCAACCCGUGUUGAAUGCGUCCCUGCCCUUUGUACACACCGCCCGUCGCUCCUACCGAUGAAUCGUCCGGUGAAGUUCAUGGAGUCGCGGCUGCUCCAGCUGUUUUCGAAGUGAAAUGGACCUCAUGAUUUAGAGGAAGGAGAAGUCGUAACA